GAUGAACGCUGGCGGCGUGCCUAAUACAUGCAAGUCGAGCGAACAGACGAGGAGCUUGCUCCUCUGACGUUAGCGGCGGACGGGUGAGUAACACGUGGAUAACCUACCUAUAAGACUGGGAUAACUUCGGGAAACCGGAGCUAAUACCGGAUAAUAUAUUGAACCGCAUGGUUCAAUAGUGAAAGACGGUUUUGUUUUCACUUAUAGAUGGAUCCGCGCCGCAUUAGCUAGUUGGUAAGGUAACGGCUUACCAAGGCAACGAUGCGUAGCCGACCUGAGAGGGUGAUCGGCCACACUGGAACUGAGACACGGUCCAGACUCCUACGGGAGGCAGCAGUAGGGAAUCUUCCGCAAUGGGCGAAAGCCUGACGGAGCAACGCCGCGUGAGUGAUGAAGGUCUUCGGAUCGUAAAACUCUGUUAUUAGGGAAGAACAAAUGUGUAAGUAACUAUGCACGUCUUGACGGUACCUAAUCAGAAAGCCACGGCUAACUACGUG
rnacentral:rRNA from 1 species